GCAGCGGUGGUUCAGUGGUAGAAUUCUUGCCUUCCAUGCGGGAGACCUGGGUUUGAUUCCUGGCCAAUGCA
rnacentral:tRNA from 1 species